rnacentral:lncRNA from 1 species
GCAGAAGAAUGAACAUAGCUAAAGCGCAACAAAAACAAGCAAGACAUGCAGAAAUUACUCUCACAGGCAAUAAGCUAACCAGGUUCUCUUUUCAACUCAAAAGUUCAAAGUUAACAUAACAAUCUACUAGUACUACAGAGAGUAUAAACUUUUAGACGGCAAGCCUCAUCCCAAAGAUUUAAAACAGCAGGCGACAAAACAUAUAGCUCUCAAAUAUAUCUUGCUUUCAGCGGGGCUUCAGAACAGAAGUCAUGCAGUCCACUGCCCGCCGUAUCCAGCAGCAGUAGCAGGCUGAGGCGACACGCCCUUUGCAACCGCAGGCUGUGGGUUUGCAGCAGGUGCAGCAUAGCCACUUUGAGCUGCCGGUGGCGCAGACUGAUCAUAACUUGGUGGGUUUGUAGCUGGUGGCUGGGUGUAUCCUGCCUGACCAUAUCCAGGCUGACCAGUUGUCGGUGCAGCAGCAUAUCCUGACUGUGGGUAGGCAUUUCCAUAGCUG